GACGAACGCUGGCGGCGUGCCUAAUGCAUGCAAGUCGAGCGAAUCGAUGGGAGCUUGCUCCCUGAGAUUAGCGGCGGACGGGUGAGUAACACGUGGGUAACCUGCCUGUAAGACUGGGAUAACUUCGGGAAACCGGAGUUAAUACCGGAUCAUUUCUUUUCUCGCAUGAGGGAAGCUGGAACGAUGGUUCUGCUAUCACUUACAGAUGGACCCGCGGCGAAUUAGCUAGUUGGUGAGGUAAGGGCUCACCAAGGCAACGAUGCGUAGCAGACCUGAGAGGGGGAUCGGCCACACUGGGACUGAGACACGGCCCAGACUCCUACGGGAGGCAGCAGUAGGGAAUCUUCCGCAAUGGACGAAAGUCUGACGGAGCAACGCCGCGUGAGCGAAGAAGGCCUUCGGGUCGUAAAGCUCUGUUGUUAGGGAAGAACAAGUACGAGAGUAACUGCUCGUACCUUGACGGUACCUAACCAGAAAGCCACGGCUAACUACGUGCCAGCCGCCGCCGUAAGAC
rnacentral:rRNA from 1 species